rnacentral:rRNA from 1 species
GACGAACGCUGGCGGCGUGCUUAACACAUGCAAGUCGAACGGAAAGGCCCUGCUUUUGUGGGGUGCUCGAGUGGCGAACGGGUGAGUAACACGUGAGUAACCUGCCCUUGACUUUGGGAUAACUUCAGGAAACUGGGGCUAAUACCGGAUAGGAGCUCCUGCUGCAUGGUGGGGGUUGGAAAGUUUCGGCGGUUGGGGAUGGACUCGCGGCUUAUCAGCUUGUUGGUGGGGUAGUGGCUUACCAAGGCUUUGACGGGUAGCCGGCCUGAGAGGGUGACCGGCCACAUUGGGACUGAGAUACGGCCCAGACUCCUACGGGAGGCAGCAGUGGGGAAUAGUGCACAAUGGGCGGAAGCCUGACGCAGCAACGCCGCGUGCGGGAUGACGGCCUUCGGGUUGUAAACCGCUUUCGCCUGUGACGAAGCGUGAGUGACGGUAAUGGGUAAAGAAGCACCGGCUAACUACGUG